UACGAAGGGGGCUAGCGUUGCUCGGAAUCACUGGGCGUAAAGGGUGCGUAGGCGGGUCUUUAAGUCAGGGGUGAAAUCCUGGAGCUCAACUCCAGAACUGCCUUUGAUACUGAGAGGCUUGAGUCCGGGAGAGGUGAGCGGAACUGCGAGUGUAGAGGUGAAAUUCGUAGAUAUUCGCAAGAACACCAGUGGCGAAGGCGGCUCACUGGCCCGGUACUGACGCUGAGGUGCGAAAGCGUGGGGAGCAAACAGG
rnacentral:rRNA from 1 species